rnacentral:rRNA from 1 species
UACGGAGGGGGCUAGCGUUGUUCGGAAUUACUGGGCGUAAAGCGUACGUAGGCGGCUUUGUAAGUUAGAGGUGAAAGCCCGGGGCUCAACUCCGGAAUUGCCUUUAAGACUGCAUCGCUUGAAUCCAGGAGAGGUGAGUGGAAUUCCGAGUGUAGAGGUGAAAUUCGUAGAUAUUCGGAAGAACACCAGUGGCGAAGGCGGCUCACUGGACUGGUAUUGACGCUGAGGUGCGAAAGCGUGGGGAGCAAACAGG